rnacentral:rRNA from 1 species
CACGUAGGGUGCGAGCGUUGUCCGGAUUUACUGGGCGUAAAGAGCGCGUAGGCGGCUCGUUAAGUGUGAAGUGAAAUCUCCAGGGCUCAACUGGGGAACUGCACAGGAAACUAGCGGGCUUGAGUUCGGGAGAGGGAAGCGGAAUUCCGGGUGUAGCGGUGAAAUGCGUAGAUAUCAGGAGGAACACCGAUGGCGAAGGCAGGUCUCUGGGCAUUAACUGACGCUGAGGAGCGAAAGCAUGGGGAGCGAACAGG